rnacentral:rRNA from 1 species
UACGUAGGGUGCAAGCGUUGUCCGGAAUUAUUGGGCGUAAAGAGCUCGUAGGCGGUCUGUCGCGUCGGCUGUGAAAUCCCGGAGCUCAACUCCGGGUCUGCAGUCGAUACGGGCAAACUGGAGUACUGCAGGGGAGACUGGAAUUCCUGGUGUAGCGGUGAAAUGCGCAGAUAUCAGGAGGAACACCGGUGGCGAAGGCAGGUCUCUGGGCAUUAACUGACGCUGAGGAGCGAAAGCAUGGGGAGCGAACAGG